AACGCUGGCGGCAUGCCUUACACAUGCAAGUCGAACGGCAGCACGGGAGCAAUCCUGGUGGCGAGUGGCGAACGGGUGAGUAAUAUAUCGGAACGUGCCCAGUCGUGGGGGAUAACGUAGCGAAAGCUACGCUAAUACCGCAUACGAUCUAUGGAUGAAAGCGGGGGAUCGCAAGACCUCGCGCGAUUGGAGCGGCCGAUAUCAGAUUAGGUAGUUGGUGAGGUAAAGGCUCACCAAGCCGACGAUCUGUAGCUGGUCUGAGAGGACGACCAGCCACACUGGGACUGAGACACGGCCCAGACUCCUACGGGAGGCAGCAGUGGGGAAUUUUGGACAAUGGGCGCAAGCCUGAUCCAGCCAUGCCGCGUGCAGGAUGACGGUCCUAUGGAUUGUAAACUGCUUUAUACAGGAAGAAACACUCCGACGUGUCGGAGCUUGACGGUACUGUAAGAAUAAGGAUCGGCUAACUCCGUG
rnacentral:rRNA from 1 species